rnacentral:rRNA from 1 species
GAUGAACGCUGGCGGCGUGCCUAAUACAUGCAAGUCGAGCGAACGGACGAGAAGCUUGCUUCUCUGAUGUUAGCGGCGGACGGGUGAGUAACACGUGGAUAACCUACCUAUAAGACUGGGAUAACUUCGGGAAACCGUAGCUAAUACCGGAUAAUAUUUUGAACCGCAUGGUUCAAAAGUGAAAGACGGUCUUGCUGUCACUUAUAGAUGGAUCCGCGCUGCAUUAGCUAGUUGGUAAGGUAACGGCUUACCAAGGCAACGAUGCAUAGCCGACCUGAGAGGGUGAGCGGCCACACUGGAACUGAGACACGGUCCAGACUCCUACGGGAGGCAGCAGUAGGGAAUCUUCCGCAAUGGGCGAAAGCCUGACGGAGCAACGCCGCGUGAGUGAUGAAGGUCUUCGGAUCGUAAAACUCUGUUAUUAGGGAAGAACAUAUGUGUAAGUAACUGUGCACAUCUUGACGGUACCUAAUCAGAAAGCCACGGCUAACUACGUG